UUCUUAUCGAGAGAGGCGGAGGGACAGGCCCGAUGAAGCCCGGCAACCGAUUCGAGAAGCGGCCCCGCGAGGCCAAAGUCCCGAAUGACAUGGUGCUAAUUCCUACAACUGCAGGCAUGCGCUGCAGAUUGGCAGAUGAGAA
rnacentral:ncRNA from 2 species